CUGGCGGGCUCGGCUGAGCAGGGUCCGGCCGCGAGCAGGGGCCCACCGACCUCGGCUACACCGCAGAAGCCCCUGAGGCAGGAGAGGCUGAAAACCUGGCUGGCUGUGGAUGAAAUCCAACUUCCAUUCUGAGCUCCCUGGGAAACCCAGCCUUAGUGGUAAAGGAAAGAUGAAAAAGAAACGUGAAUGGAGAAGUCAGUUUCUUGGAUCUUGUUGUGAAGCCUGGUCCACUGCAAUACUAUACCAUUUCCUGUGAAUUGAAAGACGUGAAAUAAUGUGGUAACAGGUUCAAGUGGUGUCAACUGGAACAAAGAAAUUCAUAUGUUGAAACAGUAAAAAUGAAAUUACUGCGGAAGUGAUUCAUUGUGAGAUGAACGUCCAUACAAAGUAAAAAUGAGAAAAUAUAGAAAUAGGAUUUCUGUGCGUAUUAGCAACAGUACUUACAGUACUUAUAGUACUUCAUCAUGGCUCGCAACAAAGAUAUUUAUAAGUGGAUCUCCCACCUCAGUCACAUGCUGUUAUUGCUUUGAAUUGACUGCUGUUAGAUUUCUGUAAUUCCAUACCCUGGGAUCUUGUUCUACAUGUUUACCCCACUUAGUAUGCCUGUAAGUAUUUAAAAUGGAAAUGAACUCUAAGCUUUAUAUGUGUUUAUAACAAAGGAUUUGAAUCCCUUAAAACCGUAUUUAUGAUUUCUUUAAUAUAGUUUAUAAAAUACAUGUUCAGUCUGAUAGCGUACAUUUGCCAAUUUUGCCAGUUAAGGUUGGUUACUGCCUACAGUUUUUUAUCUUGUUAGGAUGUCAUUGCAAUGAAAUUAAGGAAGAUGUUCAUGGAUGAAGCGUAGAAUAUCAGCAGCCACCGGGCACAUUCUUAAUAGAAAGUGUUGACAGCUUUUGUAGCUGUAACUUCUUUAUAGCAUAGAAAAUACAAUAAUAUUUCAUGCUAUAGAAGGGUGAUGAUAGAUACAGAUACACUACAACUAUACUUGCGUGUUUAUGUUGAGAUGUUGAGAAGUCCAUUAAAACUAUCAUAUCCUAUCCUACCUCAAAGGACAUUGUUCAAAUCAUAGAAUCAUAUAAUGGUUUGUAUUGAAAGGGACCUUAAAGAUCAGAUAGAUCCAAGUCUCUGCCAUAGGCAGGGAUACCUUCUGCUAGAUCAGGCUAACCAGAGCCCUAUCCAACAUGGUUAUGAACAAUUCCAGGGAUGAGUCAUCCACAACAUCUCUGGACAACCUGUUCCAAGGCAUCACCAUCCUCUUAAUAAAUAAUUUAUUCCCAUGGUCUAAUCUAAAUCUACCCUCCUUUAUUUUAAAGCCAUUAUGCCUUAUAUAUUAUACUUAUAAAGGGUAUCUCCCUGUCUUUCCUGUUGACCUCCUUUAAGAACUGGAAAGCCAUCAAGAGGACUCCAACAGUCUUCCCUAAUCUAAACAAUCCCUACUCACUUAGUCUGUUUUCAUAGAAAUGCUCUGGCUUUCUUCUGAGUCUUCUGGACUCAUUUUAACAGGGUUUUUUUUGUACUAGAGCCAGAGCUGAAUAUUUCAGGCACAAACUCUACAAAAGGCCAGCAGAGGGGAAGAAUUAUCUCCAUUGACCGCUGAUCACUAUUCAUUUGAUGUAGCCCAGGAAGCAGUUGGCUUUCUUUGCUGCAAGCAUACUCUGCCUACUCAUUUUGAAUUUUUCAUCCAACACCAGUAAGUCCUUCUCCAUAGGGCUGUUCUCAGUGUAUUCAUCGCCCAACCUUUAUACAUGCUUGGGAUUGUCCUGACUCAGGUGCAGCACCUUGCCCUUGUUAAACUUUAGGAGGUUAGCACAGGCUCAGUUCUCAAGCUUCUAAAGAUCCUCCCAGAUGGUUUCAUUUCCCUCCAGAGCGUGAGCCACACCAGAUCUUCGCAAACUUGCAAACUCCAUUCUAUUGUCCGUGUCACUGGCAGAGAUAUUAAAUAAUUCUGAUCCUAAUACCAGCACUUAAAGGGCCAAACAGAUCUGUUGCUGGUCUCCACAAAGAUAUCAAGCAGCUGACUGUAACUCUUUGAAUGGGACCCUAUCCACCAAGUGGACUACCUAUUAAAUCCACAUCUCAACAGUUUGGAGACAAGGAUAUUAUGUAAGACACUGUCAAAUGCUUUAUACAAGUCCUGGUAGAUUACAUCAGUUCUUCUUCCCUUAUCCACUAGCACCGUAACCCUGUCACAUAAGGCCACCAAAUUUGUCAGACAUUAUUUAACUUUAGUGAAGCCAUGGUGGCACACUCUCCAUUCUUCAGGUGCCAUAGUUUCCAGGAUCUGCCUAUAUUUCCUGCCUCAUUAACUGUUCAGUCUAAAAAAUAUUUUUUCUUCCCCAGUGAAUUUACUGUGCUUUUUGACUACUUACUGCUUUAGGAAGAUGUGACAAAGGGUAGUACUAAACUACUGACUUGUUAAGGAAAGCACACAUAACACAGUGAUGCUUGAAAAUGAGUAUGUUAAAACUUUAUCAAAUGUUAGUAUCUAAGGGUAGUAGUAAAAGUGUAAGCAGCAAACACAGGUAGUGCAGCCAAAUUCAAAUAAAUUAUUUUGUAUAAGAAUUGGAAAGAUUUGGUUCAGUUAUGCAAAUCCUCAUUCACUUUAUAGAUAUAUAUUGUUCUAUUCAACACUUUUUUCUCCCAAAACAAUCAAAACACCAAAAUGUUUUCUUCUGCUUUUCAACAACUUUUUAUACAGAAGAUUUUUUCUACUAAGAUAUAAUUUUGAUGAUUUAGGAAAUAUUUAUAU